AUGAGCAUCAUCUAUAAGAAUGUUACUGGGUUUGAAGAUGUAGAAAUACUGUCUAUAAGCGAAGGAAGCAUUAUUGUGCUUCAUGAGGUCAUUGUGAGAUUCCUAUAUGUGUCCGGUGGGAAUAUAAAAGAGCAGUUUGAAAAAGCAUGUGAAGAUGUAAACAGUUACCUGAAAAUACUGAAUGAAACCUGUGAAGUAGAAAACCCCAACAUGUGUAUUGACAGAAGUUUUACCGUGGCACCUGCAAUGGAACCGAUAUCUCACGAAGAGCAAUGCAGGCAAAAGGUUGAAGAAGGUUUUCAAGAUUUUUUCAGUCCAGAAUUUGAAUCUGGGAUUCCUAUCUGCGUGUCUCACUGUGAUGAAAAAUCUUCUUCUCACUUUAAGAACUGUCAUAAAGGAAACUGUCAUAUCGAGAAAUGGACGGGGCCCCGCU